rnacentral:tRNA from 1 species
AGCAGCGUGGCUCAGUGGAAAGAGCACGGGCUUGGGAGUCAGAGGUCAUGGGUUCAAAUCCUAGCUCUGCCA